UCCCUUUAUUAAAAGAUAAAGAAAAAUUCUCGCUCAAAUUACUGGGUAAGAAUGGAUUGUUGUCGAAAUGUUUUCUUUGCAGCUAUCUGUUUUUUGUGGAAUUUUGCAUUUCUUUCUCAGCAAAACAACAUAGUGUUUUUUUAUAUUGUUGGUAAAUUAUCAGUGGGCUUCUAUGCAGCUAGUUUCAGCUUUAAGAUGUAGAAGGUGAAGAGUUUGCUUAAUUGUUAGGGAAGCCUUAUGAAAUGGUGGAGGGGGAACCUUGUGGUGGACUGGCAUCCCAUCCAGGGGGGAGUUGUAAUUAUCCUAUAGUUACUUUAUACAAAGGAAACCGGGAGUCUCUGCUAGGGAGGCCACUAGGCUCAAGUACAGACCUCUUUUUACGCCACCAAGAACACUAUACCUCUGAUCUUCCAGGGUACGUUCUUUACAGAAGACAUGUCUUUAUGGCCCCUGCCACUCCAUCAAAUCCUUCUACUAAAGGUUGCCAGAGCCACUUACCAGGAGUAGAUUUAUAUGCUAAAAAUACUACAUUUGAGCUUAAAUUUUACAAACAUUAUCCAGGUACGAUGGAAUAAAAGCACAUCCUUGUCUCAUUCAUAAGCAAUGCUACGUACUCCACAGGUGUCAAAUUUAUCAAAUUUUGUGUUCAGAAUUACUGUUGGCUUUGAUAUUUUUAACAUAAUGUAAAACUAACAUUAUAUAACAUUAUAUAGCAUUGUUUUCAACCAACAAUUAAUUUUUUUAGUUUUGAUCUGAGCAAUUAAAAACAUUAUUGUCUUGUUUCCGAGGUUUCCGAGGAAGGAUUCUUCACUUCAUGCCUGGGUCCUUAUGUACAUUAUUCUGCUUUAUGGAAAAUAGCAGUUAACUUGAGCAGGAAAAAUCCGAUCAGCCCAGAAAGGCUAGAAAACAAUUGUGCUUAGAAAUAACAGUUACCUCCAGCUGGAAAACAAAAAAGACAGAACAGCUUGCAGGGGCUGGACAAUACAACAGAUUGUAGCUUCAAUAGAUGCCGAAAAUAUGUUUAUGAAAAACUGGCAGAUACUGUUUUGUGCAUUGUGCUGGUGAAGACAGCAGUGCAAGAAUAGGUGAAGAUGGAAUCAAGAAAUGCAGCACAGGAGUGAGUCCAUUUUGUCCUGAUAAGUAUGAAUCAGGGGAUUUUGAGGAGGAUUAUGAAGAUACGGAAGAUGAUCCAUUUGUUUUCCCCUCCUCUUUCCCCAUUAGACAUUCAACUACUGGACAAAGACACAGAGUUGUCAAAUGAAAACAAUAUUCAAGAAAGAAUUGUUGUGCUUUUUUACAGGCAGUGAACCAGAUGAUAAAGAUUUUGUCCUGUAUGAGCUACUCAGGCCUCCCUAAGAUGCUUCUUAUGAGAGAUGUUCUGCCAUCAUUAUGAAAUGUGGAGAGACUGGAAAUGGAGGCAACUUUAGGAGAAAGACUUUUAAUUUUAAAUAAUAUCAGUAAGGCAAGCUAUUUGGCACAGUGUAAUACUUAUAUUUAAACACCUUAUGGGUCAUGUGUUCACUCUAACAGUUUCAAUUGGGUUUUGAAGCAUGCGUAAUUCAUCUAAAAUUCCCCUACUCCAAAUUGUGAAUGGUACCUAGACACGGCCAGAGAACAUCAACAGAGAAUGUGACCUUUUAAGUAUGUACACAUCAAACCCAUGAAUUUGUCCACAAAACCUCCUUUGGAAUUGUUAAGUUCCAGAGUUUCACAUCUAGUGCAUUUCCAAAGCAGUAACAUGUUAAAAAAUGACACAAAGAUUUAAAUUGCAAAGAAUUUUUUUAAACCCUUGACAUUUACAGUUACCCAUAUAAAAAAGAAAUCUUCCCAACAAUAAUGAAUGAAUGGGUGAAUGAAAUAGCCUUGACUCCUCAAUCUGGUGUCAACUACUUCAUUUUACUCAAAAGUAUAGAAGGGCAAAUUGGAAGGACAGAAAGAGUUACUUUCUGUAAUCUGUGAAAUAGUAUUGAACAAUUAGAGCCAAAUAGUUGCAAGUAAAUAAAAGA